rnacentral:rRNA from 1 species
AGUAACCUGCCUUGGAGUGGGGAAUAACACAUCGAAAGAUGUGCUAAUACCGCAUAAUGCAGUUGGGCCGCAUGGCUCUGGCUGCCAAAGAUUUAUCGCUCUGAGAUGGACUCGCGUCUGAUUAGCUGGUUGGCGGGGUAACGGCCCACCAAGGCGACGAUCAGUAGCCGGACUGAGAGGUUGACCGGCCACAUUGGGACUGAGACACGGCCCAGACUCCUACGGAAGGCAGCAG